AUUGAACGCUGGCGGCAUGCCUUACACAUGCAAGUCGAACGGUAACAGGUUAAGCUGACGAGUGGCGAACGGGUGAGUAAUGUAUCGGAACGUGCCCAGUCGUGGGGGAUAACUGCCCGAAAGAGCCGCUAAUACCGCAUACGACCUGAGGGUGAACGCGGGGGAUCGCAGGACCUCGCGCGAUUGGAGCGGCCGAUAUCAGAUUAGGUAGUUGGUGGGGUAAAGGCCUACCAAGCCUACGAUCUGUAGCUGGUCUGAGAGGACGACCAGCCACACUGGGACUGAGACACGGCCCAGACUCCUACGGGAGGCAGCAGUGGGGAAUUUUGGACAAUGGACGCAAGUCUGAUCCAGCCAUGCCGCGUGCGGGAAGAAGGCCUUCGGGUUGUAAACCGCUUUUGUCAGGGAAGAAAAGGUUCUGGUUAAUACCUGGGACUCAUGACGGUACCUGAAGAAUAAGCACCGGCUAACUACGUGCCAGCAGCCGCCGUAAGAC
rnacentral:rRNA from 1 species